rnacentral:rRNA from 1 species
UACGGGGGGGGUAAGCGUUGUUCGGAAUUACUGGGCGUAAAGGGCUCGUAGGCGGCCAACUAAGUCAGACGUGAAAUCCCUCAGCUUAACUGGGGAACUGCGUCUGAUACUGGAUGGCUUGGAUUCGGGAGAGGAAUGCGGAAUUCCAGGUGUAGCGGUGAAAUGCGUAGAUAUCUGGAGGAACACCGGUGGCGAAGGCGGCAUCCUGGACCAACACUGACACUGAUGAGCGAAAGCCAGGGGAGCAAACGGG